rnacentral:rRNA from 1 species
GAUGAACGCUGGCGGCGUGCCUAAUACAUGCAAGUCGAGCGAACAGACGAGGGGCUUGCUCCUCUGACGUUAGCGGCGGACGGGUGAGUAACACGUGGAUAACCUACCUAUAAGACUGGGAUAACUUCGGGAAACCGGAGCUAAUACCGGAUAAUAUAUUGAACCGCAUGGUUCAAUAGUGAAAGACGGUUUUGCUGUCACUUAUAGAUGGAUCCGCGCCGCAUUAGCUAGUUGGUAAGGUAACGGCUUACCAAGGCAACGAUGCGUAGCCGACCUGAGAGGGUGAUCGGCCACACUGGAACUGAGACACGGUCCAGACUCCUACGAGAGGCAGCAGUAGGGAAUCUUCCGCAAUGGGCGAAAGCCUGACGGAGCAACGCCGCGUGAGUGAUGAAGGUCUUCGGAUCGUAAAACUCUGUUAUUAGGGAAGAACAAAUGUGUAAGUAACUAUGCACGUCUUGACGGUACCUAAUCAGAAAGCCACGGCUAACUACGUG